rnacentral:misc_RNA from 1 species
UCGUAAGCAGUAGCAUGCUGGAAAAGCAUGUUCUUAUGACUUUUCUUCUCGUGGGCUGCAUCUUGACGCUGGUAUACGGAAGGGUUCCAUGGAAUUUUGUUCCCAGCAUGCGCGACUUCGUAAAUACGACAGAAAAAAUAUGGACGUACUUCACAAGUGAACCUAUCGAAAUUGAGUGUAAGGCAGACGAAAAACAAUACCUCAGCCUGAUUUCGAUUGAAUUCGAACGGUCUUACUACUACAGGAAGAAAAAAAGGAGAAACUAAACGUAAUAAAAAGAACACGCAAUGGCCAUUAUGACGAAUAUGCUAGA